GAAGGUUACUGUAGCAGAUCGGGAUUUCAGUCGAUUUCCGGCGAUUCCGGCCGUCUCCGGCCACCAAAUUGGCGUCGAAGGGUUCUUGGAGUUUUCUGGAAAUUUUUCACCGGCCAAAUUGGAGCCCUUCAAGGGCAAUGUUGCGAGCUACGGCUAGAUGAAGGAACUCGUUUGCGUGGUCGCCCAUUAGUAC